rnacentral:lncRNA from 1 species
UGUUGGCAUGCUCAUGCCAUUGUGACUCUAGUUGUAGCGGGAUCAGGGAGAGAGACAUGAAAGAAUUAAGGUUUCAAAAUUUUGGGGGCAAUUCAAUUUGAAGCUUGAAUCAGGUGAGGUCUAUUUUAUGGCAUUUAACUGUGUGUAUAUAUAUGGGUGUGUGCAUAUGUAUCUGUUUUUUUUUGUGCUAAAUCAUAUGUAUCUGUUUGUGUUGGGGCUGCUGAUUAGUUGAGUGGCGGCGGUGAAGGUUGUCGCCGGUGACUGAAUUGCAGAGGAAGAGUAAGGCGGGGUGAAGGAGUGGAUCGAUGGCCGGGUGUAAUGGAUUGUGAUGGUGGUUUGGGCUGGUUCCCGACAAUACAGGACGGAAGCAGCUCAACCGUGUUGGAAAGGAAGGCGGCAACAACAGUGGUUGGGCGAUUUGUUCAGCAGCCGUGAAGGCUGUCCUGACGAGGAGAAGAGAGACGAGGAGGGG